rnacentral:misc_RNA from 1 species
GGGACUCAACAUUCCUAGAAACACAGGGAAUCAAGUUGGAUCAAAUGUAACCCUCUUAAACGUUGACCAAAUACCAGGGGUUAACACUCUUGCUAUCUCACUUGCUCGUAUAGACUAUGCAGCAAAUGGUGGUUUAAAUCCUCCCCACAUUCAUCCUCGUGCCUCAGAAAUCCUUCUGGUCCUUGAGGGCAACCUUUACGUUGGUUUUGUCACAUCCAACCCCAACCGCCUUAUCAGCAAAGUAUUAAACCCAGGAGACGUUUUCGUGUUUCCAAUUGGCCUCAUUCACUUUCAGUUCAAUAUUGCAAAGACCAAUGGAGUUGCUAUUGCUAGUUUAAACAGCCAAAAUCCUGGAGUUAUCACUGUAGCAAAUGCAACAUUCGGAACUAAUCCACCUAUUAAUCCUGAUGUCCUCGCUAAGGCCUUCCAGCUAGACGAGAAAGUAGUGGAAAAUCUUCAGAAAAAGUUUGGUGGGAGCAACAACUAGGCAGACAUGCAUAAAACCACCAGUGAACCAGUAACCUUCUAUGGUAAUCAAUGUCGUCCAAUAUUCCUUGUAGUAGAAUAAAACAAAGAGUGAUUUCCUAUUACAUGCCAUUGUCUAUGUUCAUGGUUGCAGUAUGAAACAUUCAAAUUUUUGUCAAAUAAGCUCCCUCUCCUCCUAUUUCAGCAGCUCAGUUAGCAAGUAGACUAAAAUUUUAAUUUCUAUCUACAGUUAUUUGACUAAAGUACUUAAAAAG